rnacentral:tRNA from 5 species
UGGGGUAUCGCCAAGCGGUAAGGCAUCGGAUUCUGAUUCCGGCAUUCCGAGGUUCGAAUCCUCGUACCCCAGCCA